GCUGGCGGCGUGCCUAACACAUGCAAGUCGAGCGAGAUCCAUCCAGUGGCAACACUGGUGAAGAUCUAGCGGCGAACGGGUGAGUAACACGUGAGAAACCUGCCCCGGAGACCGGGAUAACCCGAGGAAACUCGAGCUAAUACCGGAUACCCCCAUCUCAUCGCAUGUUGAGAUGAGGAAAUGCUCCGACGCUCCGGGAGGGUCUCGCGGCCUAUCAGGUAGUUGGUGAGGUAACGGCUCACCAAGCCGAAGACGGGUAGCUGGUCUGAGAGGACGAUCAGCCACACUGGGACUGAGACACGGCCCAGACUCCUACGGGAGGCAGCAGUGGGGAAUCUUGCGCAAUGGGCGAAAGCCUGACGCAGCAACGCCGCGUGCGGGAUGAAGGCUCUCGGGUUGUAAACCGCUUUCAGGAGGGACGAAAAUGACGGUACCUCCAGAAGAAGCCCCGGCCAACUACGUGCCAGCAGCCCGCGGUAACACGUAGGGGGCGAGCGUUGUCCGGAUUUAUUGGGCGUACAGAGCUCGUAGGCGGUUCGGCAAGUCGGGUGUGAAAU
rnacentral:rRNA from 1 species